GCAGGGCUGGGGGGAGCGGGGCUGCCAUUGUCCCCGGGGGCGGGCAGCGGGACAGCCCCGCGGCCCGGGGGGACAUCGGCCGGGGGUGGCGGCGCCUCGGUGCCGCCCGGCUCGGCUCGGCUCGGCCUCCCCCAGCUCGGGGCCCGGCCGCUGCCGCCGUGCCCGGGGGCAGGGGGGGGGAGUGCCUUGUGCCUCCCCCCGCCUCCUCCCCGUCCAGCCCUCCUCUGGGUAGAAGGGGAGGAGGAGGAGGAGGAGGAGGGCGAGUGGUGGGAGGGUCUCUGCAUUGAAAUAAACAAGCAGGCAGUUAUUAAAACGGGAACAUGGCGGCCGCAGCCCCAGCUUCAGCUUCGGCUUACAAAGCGAAGGAUGCAGCUUGCUCACUGUAAGUCUGCAAGACUCUGUCAUGAGAAUGAAAGUGUUGACACUUCCCUCCAUCGCUGAAAGAGAGUAAGAGCUAGUCCAUCUGCAGAGAGCACAGGUUUUUCAGCAGGAAGAACAAAGUCAUUGGGAAAGACAGCUGCUGCUACAAUGCCCACAGUCUUCUGGUCUUUCCCUUUGUUGCUGAUGUCACUGUCUUAUUGGCAAAAUCUGGGGCUCAGCGUUGAGCCUGAGUUUUGGUAGCACCUGAAAUGAGAAUUGUGGAAAUUGCAGAGGCUUGUGAGACUUAAAGCCUUGAGGAUGCUGUCAGCUCAUUGAAGAGAAAAAGCUGAGCGUGAGACUGGUGCCAAAUUCAAGUAUAAAUGUAACUCUCUUUGUCUGCUCAGUACUAAUUGUGCGCUGAAGAAAGGCAAUACUGAGCUAAUGCUGUUUCUGCCAAAUUCAUUUUUUGUAUGUUUGCUGUGCUUAGCCUCUCUAAACAAUGCAAUUUGUAUUCAAGUACGUAUAAAGUAUUUAACAAAUUCCACGCGUUUUCUUUAGAAUUCUUACCUACAUUAAGACGUUCGGUAUUCAUUUAUUUCUGUGUUUGGCUUCUGGCUUCUGAGGCCAAAGGUGAGAUGUGUUGUUACACGGUAUAUACCCUUGUGUGUGACUUAGCAUUUUAAACUAAGGACAGAGUAAUGUUGAUAUUUACUUUUGUAGAAGGUGUAUUACAGCAUCCAUUCAUGCACUCGUUUUCUACUGUUAGCUAAUUUAGUUACAGAUGGCUACUCUGGCAGGAUCCCUUAUUUUUAUUUUUAAAUAAGGUGAAGUUCAGUGCACUACUUUAUUUGUGUUAGUUGUUAAAACAUUCUCAUGCUCCUGGUGGCAGAUAAAGACAAAUCUGUCAAUGUAAUGCUGAGAGCAAGGGAGGCGGAGAGGGAGAAACAGGGAGGGACUGGGGGGGGGGGGGGGGCACCCUCCUGGGGCAAAUGGGGAAUCCA
rnacentral:lncRNA from 1 species